rnacentral:rRNA from 1 species
GGGAGGUAGUGACAAUAAAUAACAAUACAGGGUCCUUUCGGGUCUUGUAAUUGGAAUGAGUACAAUUUAAAUCUCUUAACGAGGAACAAUUGGAGGGCAAGUCUGGUGCCAGCAGCCGCGGUAAUUCCAGCUCCAAUAGCGUAUAUUAAAGUUGUUGCAGUUAAAAAGCUCGUAGUUGAAUUUCGGGAUCAAUACGUCGGUCGUGCUUCGGUACGUACUAACGUUAUUGAUUUCUCCCUUCUAACAAAUCGUGAUGUCAUUAAUUUGGUGUUAUGGGGAGUUAGGACUGUUACUUUGAAAAAUUAGAGUGUUUAAAGCAGGCAAUCGCUCGAAUACAUUAGCAUGGAAUAAUGAAAUAGGACGUUCGAACCUAUUUUGUUGGUUUCUAGGAUCGACGUAAUGAUUAAUAGGGAUAGUUGGG